UACGUAGGGGGCAAGCGUUGUCCGGAUUUAUUGGGCGUAAAGAGCGUGUAGGCGGCCAGGUAGGUCUGCUGUGAAAACUCGAGGCUCAACCUCGAGACGUCGGCGGAAACCAUCUGGCUAGAGUCCGGAAGAGGAGAGUGGAAUUCCUGGUGUAGCGGUGAAAUGCGCAGAUAUCAGGAAGAACACCCGUGGCGAAGGCAGCUCGCUGGGACGGUACUGACGCUGAGGCGCGAAAGCGUGGGGAGCGAACAGG
rnacentral:rRNA from 1 species